rnacentral:rRNA from 1 species
GACGAACGCUGGCGGCGUGCUUAACACAUGCAAGUCGAACGAUGUCGCGAACGGGUGAGUAACGCGUAAUCAACCUGCCCCUCUGAGGGGUACAACAGUUGGAAACGACUGCUUAUACCGCAUACUGACGGUGGGGAUUGCGUGUGAUGCGGGAGUUGGAGGGGUAACGGCCCACCAAGGCGAUGAUCAGUAGGCGGGCUGAGAGGAUGAGCGGCCACAUUGGGACUGAGACGCGGCCCAGACUCCUACAGGAGGCAGCAGGGGGGAAUCUUCCGCAAUGGACGAAAGGCUGACGGAGCAACGCCGCGUGAGGGAUGACGGCCUUCGGGUUGUAAAGCUCUGUUAAUCGGGACGCGGUACCGGAAUAGAAAGCCACGGCUAACUACGUGCCAGCAGCCGCGGUAAUUC